UAGAUGCGAGAGUAGAGCAUAUCAAUAAGCGGAGGAAAAGAAACUAACAAGGAUUCCCUUAGUAACGGCGAGUGAAGCGGGAAGAGCUCAAAUUUGAAAUCUUCAAGGUUCUACCUUGACGAAUUGUAGUUUAUAAGAAGUGUUUUCUGUUAGUGAGUUGGCUAAAAGUUCUUUGGAAUAGGACAUCAUAGAGGGUGAGAAUCCCGUAUUUGGUCAUUCCUCCUAGCUGUUGUGAUACACUUUCAACGAGUCGGAUUGUUUGGGAAUGCAGUCCAAAAUGGGUGGUAAAUUUCAUCUAAAGCUAAAUAUUGGCGAGAGACCGAUAGCGAACAAGUACCGUGAGGGAAAGAUGAAAAGAACUUUGAAAAGAGAGUUAAACAAUACGUGAAAUUGUCAAAAGGGAAGCGUUUGACACCAGUGUUGUUUUUCCGAAAAUCAAUUACGAAUGUUUUGUUUUUGAGGAGUUAUGACUUCAUCGGCUUGCUCCUUUCUUUACGAAACUUUCUUAAUGCACUUUUCGGUUAACAAGUCAACAUCAAUUUCUUUUGUUGUAAAAGGGUAUGAGGAAGGUGGCUUUCUUUUCGGAGAAAGUGUUUAUAGCCUUGUGCCUCUACAAUCGGAGAGAUUGAGGUCUGCAGCGUAGAUCCUUCGGGUUAGAUACGUUUGUGCUAAGUUAUAGCUUUUCAUAGACAACUUGUUGACUAUGUUUAGUCUUGUAGCUUACUCGCUGACGCUAUUUUACCUACGCUUAGGAUGUUGACGCGCGUGUGUGCGU
rnacentral:rRNA from 1 species